UUUGAAAGGGAAACGAUUGAAGUCAGUCGUACCUGCGGGUAAUCAGCCUUUUGGGUGUGAUUAUGUGGAGCGUGAGGAGUUAAACACCCUCAUCUUUGCAUAUUCGUGCACUUUGGGUGUGCUUGCUCGUGUGGUAGGUUAACAUCAAUUUUGAUCGUCAUAAAAUGGCUAGAGGAAUGUAGCUUCGAUCUCGUAUUGAAGUGUUAUAGCCUUUGGUAGAUGUGAUGAUUAGGAUUGAGGAUUGCAACGGAUACCCUUCGGGGCUACCUGCCUGAUCUCUGAAAGUUGCUCUGGUGCUGAAAGCUUGCUUAUGGUAUCAAAGUGACGUCAAUAGUG
rnacentral:rRNA from 1 species